rnacentral:piRNA from 1 species
UCAUGGUGAGGUCGGGCAGAGUGACCUGG